rnacentral:rRNA from 1 species
GUGCUGUGAGCUCGAUGAGUAGGGCGGGACACGUGGUAUCCUGUCUGAAUAUGGGGGGACCAUCCUCCAAGGCUAAAUACUCCUGACUGACCGAUAGUGAACCAGUACCGUGAGGGAAAGGCGAAAAGAACCCCGGCGAGGGGAGUGAAAAAGAACCUGAAACCGUGUACGUACAAGCAGUGGGAGCCCCACCACUAAGCCAGUGGUGAACUCCACAUACGCAUCCUUUGCUGAGGAUACGGUUAACGGAGCGAAAGCGACGUUCAACCGCAAAAGAAGCAGAGGGGGCUUAGUGGUGGGGUGACUGCGUACCUUUUGUAUAAUGGGUCAGCGACUUAUAUUCUGUAGCAAGGUUAACCGAAUAGGGGAGCCGGAGGGAAACCGAGUCUUAAUUGGGCGUUAAGUUGCAGGGUAUAGACCCGAAACCCGGUGAUCUAGCCAUGGGCAGGUUGAAGGUUGGGUAACACUAACUGGAGGACCGAACCGACUAAUGUUGAAAAAUUAGCGGAUGACCUGUGGCUGGGGGUGAAAGGCCAAUCAAACCGGGAGAUAGCUGGUUCUCCCCGAAAGCUAUUUAGGUAGCGCCUCGUGAAUUCAUCUCCGGGGGUAGAGCACUGUUUCGGCUAGGGGGCCAUCCCGGCUUACCAACCCGAUGCAAACUGCGAAUACCGGAGAAUGUUAUCACGGGAGACACACGGCGGGUGCUAACGUCCGUCGUGAAGAGGGAAACAACCCAGACCGCCAGCUAAGGUCCCAAAGUCAUGGUUAAGUGGGAAACGAUGUGGGAAGGCCCAGACAGCCAGGAUGUUGGCUUAGAAGCAGCCAUCAUUUAAAGAAAGCGUAAUAGCUCACUGGUCGAGUCGGCCUGCGCGGAAGAUGUAACGGGGCUAAACCAUG